AUUGAACGCUGGCGGCAGGCCUAACACAUGCAAGUCGAGCGGAUGAAGGGAGCUUGCUCCUGGAUUCAGCGGCGGACGGGUGAGUAAUGCCUAGGAAUCUGCCUGGUAGUGGGGGAUAACGUCCGGAAACGGGCGCUAAUACCGCAUACGUCCUGAGGGAGAAAGUGGGGGAUCUUCGGACCUCACGCUAUCAGAUGAGCCUAGGUCGGAUUAGCUAGUUGGUGGGGUAAAGGCCUACCAAGGCGACGAUCCGUAACUGGCCUGAGAGGAUGAUCAGUCACACUGGAACUGAGACACGGUCCAGACUCCUAAGGGAGGCAGCAGUGGGGAAUAUUGGACAAUGGGCGAAAGCCUGAUCCAGCCAUGCCGCGUGUGUGAAGAAGGUCUUCGGAUUGUAAAGCACUUUAAGUUGGGAGGAAGGGCAGUAAGUUAAUACCUUGCUGUUUUGACGGUACCAACAGAAUAAGCACCGGCUAACUUCGUG
rnacentral:rRNA from 1 species